rnacentral:rRNA from 1 species
GUGGGGAAUAUUGGACAAUGGGCGCAAGCCUGAUCCAGCCAUGCCGCGUGAGUGAUGAAGGCCUUAGGGUUGUAAAGCUCUUUCAGUAGGGAAGAUAAUGACGGUACCUACAGAAGAAGCCCCGGCUAACUUCGUGCCAGCAGCCGCGGUAAUACGAAGGGGGCUAGCGUUGUUCGGAUUUACUGGGCGUAAAGCGCACGUAGGCGGAUUGGUCAGUUAGAGGUGAAAUCCCGAAGCUCAACUUCGGAACUGCCUUUGAUACUGCCAGUCUCGAGUCCGGAAGAGGUGAGUGGAACUCCUAGUGUAGAGGUGGAAUUCGUAGAUAUUAGGAAGAACACCAGUGGCGAAGGCGGCUCACUGGUCCGGUACUGACGCUGAGGUGCGAAAGCGUGGGGAGCAAACAGGAUUAGAAACCCGGGUAGUCC